rnacentral:lncRNA from 1 species
AAUUAUAUAUAUAUAUAUUAUCAUGAGAUGUAAGGGAUCAUAUAUUGAAUGAAAGAAGAGAAGCUGAAAAAACAUACAAAUUAAUUGGAAGAGCUAAUUCAAAAGGAGGGAAAAUGUACAUAAAGAGAACACAUGCAUAUACAUGCAAGAAAUUAAGAACAAUUGAAUUUGUAUUUCAUCAUUUGAAACCAUAUGGUAGAGUCCACCAUAUAUAUCUCUUAAUGAUAACAAAUAUGCAUGCACAAAGAUAAAGAUGAUCUCCUAUUGCAUCCCAUCCCAUGCAUGCAUGCAUUUCAGUUCAUUGCCCCUUUGCUCAAUUUGUAGACCUAGAGAUUGCUUACAAUCUUGAUGCAUUUGAUCUUCAACCAGCGAAACCCUUUCUUGACAGAAUGCUUGAGUUUGCCUUCUGCUGCGUACAACUUGUAUUUAAACACUCUACGCUUUCUCUUCCUUUCAGCCUCAUUCCACCACCAUGUGCUCGAUGGCUUCGUCACCGCCAUUUGUGGGCCAUAACGUUCUCCAGAUGCUACUUCAUUGGAAUACAAAGCUGAGGGAGUAGUGGUGCUCCUCGCAACCCACAUUUUGUUGUCGUUGUUCAUGCUCUUCACAUUCACCUCGUGUAGAUAGGAGCAGGAUCGAGCGUAGUGGUGUUGGAUCCCCUCCAUCUCUUUAUGAUGGGUAACCUUAUAUAUAUUUCUCCCUUCUAAUCAAUAUAAUCACCCUAUAUAUAUAUAUAUCCUUUUUUUCUUCAAGAACAAUGUAUUUGUUGUUUAAUUAUCUCCUUUCUCUCUCUUCUCCGAAGAGGAAGAGAGAGAAAGAGAGGAAUUGAAAUUCAAAAACUUCAGGGAAGCUUUUUUUAUAUAGGAAAAGUAUGAAACAGAUCAGGUUGAAGGGUGAAACAUCUCUCUAGCCCGGAAUGAGUGUGGAAAGGAAUGUUAAG